UGGGGAAUAUUGGACAAUGGAGGAAACUCUGAUCCAGCAAUUCUGUGUGUGUGAAGAAGGUUUUAGGACUGUAAAACACUUUUAGUAGGGAAGAAAAAAAUGACGGUACCUACAGAAGAAGCAACGGCUAAAUACGUGCCAGCAGCCGCGGUAAUACGUAUGUUGCGAGCGUUAUCCGGAAUUAUUGGGCUUAAAGGGCAUCUAGGCGGUAAGACAAGUUGAAGGUGAAAACCUGUGGCUCAACCAUAGGCUUGCCUACAAAACUGUUGAACUAGAGUACUGGAAAGGUGGGUGGAACUACACGAGUAGAGGUGAAAUUCGUAGAUAUGUGUAGGAAUGCCGAUGAUGAAGAGAACUCACUGGACAGAAACAGACGCUGAAGUGCGAAAGCUAGGGGAGCAAACAGG
rnacentral:rRNA from 1 species